AUGAUGAUGGCGUCCGUUUCGGCGUGGUCGGAUCUCCCGCGAGAGCUUCUGCGUAUCAUCAUCGCCGGCCUCCCUGACCCGAUUGACCACGCUCGAUUUCGAGCAGUCUGCCGUUCCUGGCUCUCGGUGCCCUACCCGAUCAAGCUACCCAUAGUUGUGCACCCGACUGGGUUCCUAUUGCGUCCCUUUGGGAGCGGCCCCCACGAUAUCUUCCCCCUCCCGGAAAACGAGCGCGUCAUUGGUUCCACCGACGGCUUUCUUGCCCGUCACCUCACCGAUGUUGAUCGGAACCGGCAUACCUACACGCUGCUUAAUCCUUUCUCAAGGACCCUAGUGGAGCUCCCGGAGCUCGACACACUCAUUGGCGACGUUUCCGAAUCAUUUAGGAUCCACAAGGUGCUCAUGCAGUCAGGCCUUGAUGGUCUCGUCGCUAUAAGGACCAACAACCAGAAUCAUCCCAUCAUCUUGCUAAAGCGAGGCAAGGGCGUGUGGUUACCCAAGCCACGACAUCAACCCUUCACUCGUAUCAUCGACGUCGCAUUUCUCAGAGACACACUCUAUGCCAUCACACAGGCUGAGAACCUCAUCUCCUUCCGUGUCACCUUUGAUAGCAAGGGCAUACCCACGGUUACCAGCAUUAAGCGUGUCAUCACAGGCCCGAUUGGCAAUGUUGAGAAAGACAAAGAUGCAUUGAGAAAGAGAACAGGCGACUACAUAAUCAACGAUGGUAUGCAUUUUGCAGACGAUGUUGAGAGACCCCAUGUUGUUGUGGUGACCAUCUGGUACCUGGUCGAAUCGCAAGGGAAGCUGCUUAUGGUGAGGCGUGAGAUGCAACGUCCUUGUGGUCAUGAGGAGGGUUUCACUCGCAAGGUGGAGGUUUUUGAGGCGGACAUUAGUGCAAGCACGUGGGUGGCCGUAUCGAGUGGGCUACAUGGCCGUGCACUGUUUCUCAGCAAACGCUCCAGCAAGUCUUGUUUUGCAGGUGGCGAGAUUGAAGAGGAUGCUAUUUAUUUCAUCGACAACGGUGAGGUGUUCAACAUGAGAUCCAAGAUUAUAAGCCCGGCAGACAAAUCUUUCGGAUUUUCCGCUAUGUGGGUCUUUUUACCCGGUUCGUUUUAG
rnacentral:rRNA from 1 species